rnacentral:lncRNA from 13 species
CCAUGAACAAAGAUGUAUAGCUGUUUUGGUGCGUUUUGUAUGGCUAGAAACAAAAUCGCUAGAAUACAGAAUAAAUUCAACUUUAGAAGGAGGAAGAAAUGUAAGCAUCGAGGUGCACCUAUCCAGAGAGAAGGUUCAUGCUGAGUCUCAUGAAGGCUUGAAGGCUGUUUGGUUUUGAUAAAGUUGUAAUUUGAAAUCAGUUCAUG